CGUCUCUGCCAUAGAGGUGGAAUCUCUGAGGAAGAAAAAGAAAUCCAAGCCUGCUGUUCUUCACCUUGAUGUUUCGAUUGCAUAUAUAUUAUGAAGUAUACUACAGAAUACAACUUCAGGUCCCAGAGUGCCCAAGGAGCCGUCCUACUUCUGAAAAGACUCAGGUCAAGUGGCUGCUAUUGUCAUCUAGACCUGCAAUCUUGGGUAGCUCUCUUCAGUAAUCCUGGCUAUGAGGUGAUUGUGAAGGCAAAAGACAAGUCAUCCUGCUCAGUGGCCUCAGAACCUGCUUUUUUGCUUUCAGUAUCUACAGUGCCUAGAACUGUGCCUGGAUAAAGAAGACAUGAAGUACACAGAUAGGUCUAGGAGAAGGUUCUGGAGUCUGACUAGUUUGGCCAACAAAAGAAGCUUUGUCACAUUGAAUUAGCUGGAGUUGGCAUUUAUGUUUAUGGUACUGGGAAAAUGUUCUCAUUGUGUGAUGUUGGAAUAGCCCUCUCUGCCGCUCUUCCCUCAGAAAUUUCUUGCAUUGUGAAAGAAAGAUUUUCUGCUUUGAUUUUCCAGCACAGACCUGCCUCCACUAGCACUAUUUUAAUUUGGAUCUACAACACCCCUCAAUCCUGCCUGCUCUAAUCUCAUCACAGUAUGUUCCAAUAACAUUUCUUGGCUCAUCUUUUUGCUACUUGGCAUCAGCACUUUUAAAAUGAAUGCUGUAUUUCAUGGAGAGGCACAUGAUCAAGUACUAGUUAAAACAUCACAACUAUGGUCACUGUUUUAGGGGUACUCAGCAUUU
rnacentral:lncRNA from 1 species